rnacentral:rRNA from 1 species
CAGUAGCCGCGGGAACACGAAGGGGGCUAGCGUUGUUCGGAUUUACUGGGCGUAAAGCGCACGUAGGCGGAUCGAUCAGUCAGGGGUGAAAUCCCAGAGCUCAACUCUGGAACUGCCUUUGAUACUGUCGAUCUGGAGUAUGGAAGAGGUGAGUGGAAUUCCGAGUGUAGAGGUGAAAUUCGUAGAUAUUCGGAGGAACACCAGUGGCGAAGGCGGCUCACUGGUCCAUUACUGACGCUGAGGUGCGAAAGCGUGGGGAGCAAACAGGAUUAGAUACCCCCGUAGUCCCUGUCUCUUAUAC